rnacentral:rRNA from 1 species
UACGGAGGGUGCUAGCGUUGUUCGGAAUCACUGGGCGUAAAGCGCGCGCAGGCGGUCCUUUAAGUCUGAUGUGAAAGCCCUCGGCUCAACCGAGGAGGGUCAUUGGAAACUGGAGGACUUGAGUGCAGAAGAGGAAAGUGGAAUUCCAAGUGUAGCGGUGAAAUGCGUAGAGAUUUGGAGGAACACCAGUGGCGAAGGCGACUUUCUGGUCUGUAACUGACGCUGAGGCGCGAAAGCGUGGGGAGCAAACAGG